UAAAACAAACCUUUCAAUUCAUAUAAUAAUUCAAUACAAUUUCAACUCGAUUUACACUUCAAUCAUCUACAUUACAUCAUGACUUUCUCUCGGUGCUUUCCACCAAUGAUAUCUAAACAAACUUCCAUGUCGUAGGCCGCAACCCUAAGCAGUAAGACACGACAACAAAAUCGACAUCUUAGCAACAAGCCAUCCCAAAUUAAAGCUGCAAAACAAAUUGGCAAGUAGUUAACAAUCAAUAAUGGCUUAACAACAAUAACUAUUUGCAUCCAAACUACAAGCAACACCACAUAUCAAAAACCUUCAUUGCUCACAACAUCCUAGCAUAUAACACGGUAAUGAACAUUCGAGCAAUGUAGCUCUCUACAGAUCCAAUUAUACAUGCAAACUUACAAAAAAAAAACUGCAAAUUGUACAACCAUGCCUUGCUCUGCAGUCCAUACUUGCAUCAAACCACCGAUACCUUGCAUCACACAUGUACAACACUCAUGACAAAUCAAAUAACAAUCCAAAUUUUCCAUUCAUCACACCAAGUGUAGCGGUAAAUUCAUGAUCAUCAAGCUAUGGAUAAGUUAGACAUCAAAUAACAAGAGUCGCCACCGCGCUUUUAUUGUUUCCAAGGGAAAAGCAAAAAAGUACGAACAAAACCCAAAAGUAAGAAGUUUUCAAAUCAAAACUAAUAAAACUUCAGAGAUUACAGGUAAGGGGGUUGGUUACACAGAGGGAAAGUGUUCAUUAAUUAUAUUUUUGUGUUUGACAAGACCUUCGGACUUGUGCCUACGUACCAACAUAAAAAAGAGGGAUCAUAACCUCGUAGUUCGUG
rnacentral:lncRNA from 1 species